UCAAGAAGCAUGCUUACAGGAUAGAUGUUAUAGGGACGAUAGAAUUUAUCGAAUAUAAGAGAAAGUCCUUAGUUCUCUACAGAAAACGACCACCCCUUAGGAGAUAAUUCUCCAAAGUAUGCGAAUAGAAUCCAUAGUGAAAGAGUUGUGCACUGAAUAGAAGCCGAACAAUGAAAUUCGAAUUCAGUCGCAGUUCUGGCACUAAACAGAGGAAGGGAUUGGGCUGUAGGCAGAUGCUGGGCUGGAUCGUGCUUGGAUUAGGCUGGGCCGAGAGGAUCCAAAAGGAUAGAAAGCACCGGGCUGAGAUUGGGCCAGGUUGGGGAGUUCACGUGUCUCGGGUCCGGUUGAAAUUCUGACCAGGACCGCUCCACCCAAUCUGCCGUCCCUCUCCUCCAAAAUUAGCGUUGAACUGGUUACUCGUUCCUUUCCCGCUGCCAUAGCCAGAGCUCCGAGAGCUGUUGCUGCCUUGCCCAUAACCGUAGCCGCCAUGGCCACCGUAGAAACCACCGCCAUGACCACGGUAGCCAUUGCCACCGCCGUUCACUCCGUUUCCUUGCCUUCCCUUUGUUCUUCCCUUUGCCGCGAUCUCCGUUCUUUCCGUGACCAUCAGCAUAAUGGACUUCGAUGGGAGGUGGUCCGAGAAUUCCAGAGAGAGAAGCAAGGGAGCCGACUGUUGCUGCUGUGUUUGCUCGUGUACAACAGCAUAGGAUCGAUGUUCAUCGUGUCUCCCAUGAGGAGUGAGCAUUGAUUGUAAGCCCUUGCGGAGGUCACGCCAUUGUUGUUCCAGGAUAUCUUCUUGGGCUGCUGUCUGCCCGAGGAAUGCGGUUUCCAGAGAGUGCCAAGCCUCGCGGGAUGUCUUGGCGAAGAGAAUGGUGAAACUGAUUUCUUCAGUCCUCGCAAGCAUAAUGCAGGUGAGUGGAAAUUCGUCUCAGGAUACCCACUGCAUUUUCUCUAGGUUUUGUGAGAUACUGCCAUAUGAUCCUUUGAUUAUCUUGCUAGGUUCGGGUACUCGACCUUUAGCGUAGGGAAGGAGACCAUAGGUCUCGAGUAAGGGGCUCAUGAUGUCCUUUCAGAACAUGUAGUUUCAAUUGGGAAGGUUGAGGGUUGAAGUAGAAUAGAUAGAUUAGACUGAUCAAGGUCGACUGUAUAGAUUACUCGGCCGUAAGCUCUGAUACCAUCAAAAGUUAGAGGAUUUUAGCUGAAACCUCAACUUAUCAUUUGAGGUGUAUUGAAUGAUAUAGAUCUUUACAUGACGUGUAUAUGAAAAAAAAUAAUUACAUGAUUAUAAUACAGUGCCUAUACAAGGAAAACUAGGAUUUGAAA